GGGGAGGGGGGAGGGAUUGCAUUGGGAGUUAUACCUGAUGUAAAUGACGAGUUGAUGGGUGCAGCACACCAACAUGGCACAAGUAUACAUAUGUAACAAACCUGCACGUUAUGCACAUGUACCCUACAACUUAAAGUAUAAUAAUAAUAAAUAAAUUUAUAAAAAAAAAAAAAAAGAAAAUUCUGUUGUUGGUUAGUUUCUCAUAGUUGUCAAUAAGGCUAAAAUAGUUAACAACGCUGAAUUCUUGUAUUUCUGUGUCGUUCUGCAUCUUCUGAGAAUUGUUUGUGAAGAAAGAAUUAAUUGAAUAUUUAUUGGGGAAAGUACAUAUAAAAGAUAAAGUGGGAGGGGCAGGAGAAGAUGAGGAGAGCUUUCAGAGGACAAUACAGCUCUCAGAAUAAAGAGAGAAAAAAAAAAAUAAAGAAGGGAGAUUGGGUGGAGUGAGCCUCAGAUCACUGCACCGUUCUGAGAAAGCUUAGUCCAAGCUAAUGGAUAAUUAUUGAAAAGUGCUUGCCAAUUAGAGAAUUCCUCCGCUGGGCAAGAACAACCUACGCUGAUCAUGUGAGUCAUUUACUAUCGGCACGCUGGGAGAAGUGUGGCCAUGACGCUAAUCCAACAGUGGACCUGCAGGAGCAGCGGCUGGCGAGCAUCAGUCAAUGUUUUGCACACAGGUUCUCCUGAGUGGCACUCCGUCUCCACCAGGAUGCUGUUACUGCUCCUGUAUCACCAAAGCCAAUGCCCUAAAGAUCAGAGCUGCAGACACAAAGGAAGGCCAAUGCAUGAGAAGAAAUCAGUGGGAAAGGGAGUAAGAAUCGCAGUCCCACCUUGACGGCACUCUCAGGCAAGAGGCCGUCUCUUUCGGAUGCUGUCAGAGUUUCCUACAACACUUGAAUUACAUAUUCUCCUGUGGUUGAGAUGAUAAUGCAUUUUCACUUCCAAAAAGGUACUUUAUCUGUUAUAUGUUAAACUUACCUUCCUUAAUUAUACAACGUCAUUUAUUUUGUAUUAUGGAGAAGGAAUGCUUUCAAAUUCACACUGCCACGAUUUUUUUCUAAACAGGUUUUUCUUCUGCUCUGUUGUAAUCUUAGAUAAAUAGACAUAACUUAGAAUAAGUAGAAAGUACACCUAACUCUGUUGCUUUCUUUUGAACUUUUUUUGCUUUACCUGUGUUACUCUUAGCUCAGGGGAAGAGACAAAUUCUCAAAAAAAAAAAAAAAAAACUUUAAAAAGUUAUUGAUUUUUAACAAAUAGAAAAAAUAUAUAUAUACAUACUUGAAAGUUUUUAAAAUACAUAAUUAAAUAGAGUUCGAUGUAAGGAAACCUCCUCAUAUUUCCUGUAUCCUUUCCAGCUCCCAUUGCCUAUGACUAACCAUUGUGACUAAUAUUUGAAGCAAAGUCAUAUCCUAUACACUUUAUUAAGGUUAUUUCUGUUUUUUUAACAUUAUGAAUUUGGUUCAACGUUUCUACAUUCUACCCAUUCCAUUCUUUUACUCUGCAACAUGGAGGAUCAGUAUCUUCUUUAAACAUUUUCCAAAUUUCAACAAGUUGAGCCGGU
rnacentral:lncRNA from 10 species